rnacentral:rRNA from 1 species
AGCAGCCACGGUAAUUCCAGCUCCAAUAGCGUAUAUUAAAGUUGUUGCAGUUAAAAAGCUCGUAGUUGAAUUUCGGGACCAAUAUGUCGGUCGUGCUUCGGUACGUACUUGCAUUAUUGGUUUCUCCCUUCUGACGAACCAUGAUGUCAUUAAUUUGGUGUCUUGGGGAAUCAGGACUGUUACUUUGAAAAAAUUAGAGUGUUUAAAGCAGGCUCACGCUUGGAUACAUUAGCAUGGAAUAAUGAAAUAGGACGUUUGAUUCUAUUUUGUUGGUUUCUAGGAUCGACGUAAUGAUUAAUAGGGAUAGUUGGGGGCAUUAGUAUUCAAUUGUCAGAGGUGAAAUUCUUGGAUUUAUUGAAGACUAACUACUGCGAAAGCAUUUGCCAAGGAUGUUUUCAUUAAUCAAGAACGAAAGUUAGGGGAUCGAAGACGAUCAGAUACCGUCGUAGUCUUAACCAUAAACUAUGCCGACUAGGGAUCGGAUGAUGUUAAUUUUUUAAUGA